UACCAUUCCUGAUAACUGGUUUUCGGACAGGUCGAGUAAGCUUAGCUUCAGCAAACCGAGAUCGUCAGGAACCGGUCCAGUGAGUCGAUUCCUCGAGAGAUUCAACGAGUUCAUAGACAUCAGAUUUGAGAAACCGCUCGGAAUCUGACCGGUUAGUUCAUUCAUAGCGAGAUUCAGGUCGACUAAUUGAGUACAUUGAGCAAUAUCUGAUGGCAUAGAUCCUGAGAGAGAAUUCAACUCCAAUUGCAAUGAAGAAAGCUGCUUCAGCUUCCCA
rnacentral:lncRNA from 1 species